UUUUAUUAAUUACGUGAUUGUUUUUGAAUGUGUUCUAUUGCUAACAUGUUCCACAUUGGUGUAGGGAAUUUUACAUGGCACUGGGAGCGUCCCCCUGCCACAAAGCCAAGGCAUUCUCCCCUUCCUCCCGAACCAGCUGGUUUCUAUAACAAUGCCUCUAUAAUGGCUCUAUUAAUAUUCCACUUGAUAGCAUUGCGGAUUUAGAAAAGAAAGAGAAGGAGUUGCAGGCUAAAGAGGCUGAAGUGAGGAGAUGUUUUUCAGCCGGCUCUUCUGGAUAUGGAAGCUACGGCGGCCACACCUCAUACAGACGUUUUCCCUUGAUAGGCUCUAAUUCGACGCUGCUUCCUUUCCGGCUCUAAUUCUUGUAGUGGUUAUUGAUGAUAAAAUCUUCUAGAUGAGCCUCUUGUGAUAUGUUGAGCCUUUUGGCCUUGCUUUGUUGCAUUGUAUAAAGUAGCCUUUUGGCAAUCUGCAGUGUUUGAACUCAAUUCCCCUCAAUAAUCCAGAACAAUUGAAAAACCCUUGAACA